rnacentral:rRNA from 1 species
UACGUAGGGUGCGAGCGUUGUCCGGAAUUACUGGGCGUAAAGAGCUCGUAGGUGGUUUGUCGCGUCGUCUGUGAAAUUCCGGGGCUUAACUUCGGGCGUGCAGGCGAUACGGGCAUAACUUGAGUGCUGUAGGGGAGACUGGAAUUCCUGGUGUAGCGGUGGAAUGCGCAGAUAUCAGGAGGAACACCGAUGGCGAAGGCAGGUCUCUGGGCAGUAACUGACGCUGAGGAGCGAAAGCAUGGGGAGCGAACAGGAUUAGACCUACCCGUACGUC